CCUGCAAAAUGACACCGUAACUUCGGGAGAAGGUGUGCCCUCAUUACGUGAACCGCGCACGCGGGGAGCGGAAGGGGGUUGCAGAGAAUCGGGGGUAGCGACUGUUUAACAAAAACACAGCACUCUGCGAAGUCGCAAGACGACGUAUAGGGUGUGAUGCCCCGGUGCUGGAAGGUUAAAGAGAGAACUCAGCCGCAAGGCAAAGGUUCGAACUGAAGCCCCAGUAAACGGCGGCCGUAACAAUAACGGUCCUAAGGUAGCGAAAUUCCUUGUCGGGUAAGUUCCGACCUGCACGAAUGGCAUAACGACUUCCCCACUGUCUCGAGCAGGGACUCAGCGAAGUAGCACUAGGGGUGAAGAUACCCUUUACCCACGGCAGGACGGAAAGACCCCGUGAACCUUCACUACAGCUUGACAUUGUUUGACGGAAGAUUUUGCGUAGGAUAGGUGGGAGGCUUUGAAGUCGGGAUUCUGGUCUCGAUGGAGCCAACGUUGAAAUACCACCCUGAAUGUUCUGGCAAACUAACCUGCACCCGUGAGCCGGGUGGGGGACACUGUCUGGUGGGUAGUUUGACUGGGGCGGUCGCCUCCCAAAAAGUAACGGAGGCGCGCGAAGUUCCCCUCAGCGUGAUUGGAAACCACGCGUUGAGUGUAAACACAUAAGGGGGAUUGACUGCGAGUCCGACGAGACGAGCAGGUACGAAAGUAGGUGUUAGUGAUCCGGUGGCUCCACAUGGAAGGGCCAUCGCUCAACGGAUAAAAGGUACUCCGGGGAUAACAGGCUUAUCACGUCCAAGAGUUCACAUCGACGACGUGGUUUGGCACCUCGAUGUCGGCUCAUCGCAUCCUGGGGCUGAAAUCGGUCCCAAGGGUUUAGCUGUUCGCUAAUUAAAGCGGUACGCGAGCUGGGUUCAGAACGUCGUGAGACAGUUCGGUCCCUAUCCGUCGUGGGCGCAGGAUACUUGAGAGGAGCUGACUUUAGUACGAGAGGACCGAGUUGGACGAACCGAUGGUGUUCCGGUUGUCACGCCAGUGGCAUCGCCGGGUAGCUAUGUUCGGACGGGAUAACCGCUGAAAGCAUCUAAGCGGGAAGCCCCCCUCGAGAUUAGGUAUCCCGAGUCGCAAGACUCCUGAAGACCCCACGUAGACUACGUGGUUGAUAGGCGGGAUGUGGAAGUGCAGCAAUGCAUGGAGCUUACCCGUACUAAUCGGUCGUGCGGCUUGACCAC
rnacentral:rRNA from 1 species